ACGCUGAGGAGGAGUUUAUGCAAAACUCCACUUGUACUCGUCUACACAAAGGACGACAGACAACAGUGGAGACGCAGCGUAACACGAUGGACUACAGCACAGGACUGAGACUCCUGCUUCUGACUGUCUGCUGGGCAGGUGUUGACAGUCAGAUGCUGACAGAGUCUGAACCAGCGCUCAAAAGACCUGGAGAAUCACACAGACUGACCUGUACGACCUCUGGGCUGUCAUUUAGUAGCUAUUAUAUGGCCUGGAUCAGACAGGCUCCUGGAAAAGGCCUGGAGUGGAUCGCUAGCAUGCAUCCAAGCAGCAGCAGCAACAUCUACUACUCUGAGUCAGUUAAAGGCCGAUUCAUCAUCUCCAGAGACAACGGCAGAGAGCAGGUGUUUCUGCAGAUGAACAGCCUGAAAACAGACGACUCUGCAGUUUAUUACUGUGCCAGAGACACAGUGACACAAGAGACACAGACGCUGUACAAAAACUCCCACAUCAGAGCCAGUAGAAAGGCUGCUGUUUAUAAUUCACACCCACAGAAACAAACUGCUUCAACACAAACUCCAACAACCUGA